GCUAUAAUUUUUUUUUGUUCUAUCUUGAUUUUAACUUGUGUGCAAUGCCUACUUUGGUGGUUUUAAUUUAUGGCAUAUAAAUAUUUAUGGUGUAUAAAUAUGGUAUAGACCUUGAUUCCUUUUAUAUGUUUUACAUAGGAUUGAGGUCAGAUAUGUAAACUUCAAUUAAAUUAUAUGGUUACAGAAAAAAAAUAGACUUAUUUCAAAUUUCUAGUUCUAUGUCAAGAAUGCAUUGAAAGCAUCGAUAUAAUUUACAUAUAAAGCUUUACAUAUAACAUAGUUAAACAGUAUAUGACAUUGUUGGAUUCAUUUUAUGUAUACAUUUUAUAUAUUCCUUCUAUUUCCAGUAUAUAUACACAUGUGUGUAUAUACAUAUAUAUGUGUGUAUAUAUAUGUGUGUGUGUAUAUAUAUAUGUAUAUAUACACAUAUACAUAUAUACAUAUAUAUACACAGAACAUUAAGAGUUUUUAAAAUGAAAAACGGGGAUAAAAUAAACCAGAAUUCCACAUAAGAGUAACUACUAGAUCCUGUUGAUUUAAAGAGAUAAAUUUAUAGUACCAGAUUACUGAAUCUAAGGGUACUAAACAUUCUUUUGCAAAUGUCUAUGUCCUAGUGUUUUGAUUCUUAUAUACUAACACAUAAUAAUUGAGAUUGGCACAGGUUGUAAGGCAACUAAGACACUAUAAUCACAGCCUGUCACAGGAAGAGCCAACAAAUACUCUGUUUCUUAAACAUCUCAGCUUUAAAAUAGAAAACAAAACAAACAAACAAAAAACUAAACUUACAGGUCAUAAGUGAUUCGGCUGAUUAGGGAAGUCUAGGAAGACUUACUUUCAAAGAUCUUAGUACUACAUUCAUGUUGCAUUCCCAGCCGUAAUAGAAAUAUGGAUUGUGAUUUACUCUUGGGAAUUUAAGAAAACCAUCUUUCUGUAUUCCUGUACUUAAUACUGUAAACAAAUAUUUCUCUUUAGAAAGAUAGUGAAUAUUAGUAUAUGAUGAUUUGAUGAAAGGGCAAUGUGGAAGGAAUAUGAGGAAUUGUAAUUUUUCCUACUUGAAAGGUGAUUUUUGCACAAGUAGACCUAAUUUUAAACAUGCCUUUUCGAUCAACUGAAGUUAAUAUCUUGAACAGGCUAGCUCACUAUCACAAUAGCAAAAUAAUCAAGAUAAUCCACACAGAAAGAGGACAGGAUUAUUUGACACACCAUUUUAGAAGUUUUUACAUAUGACUGGCUGAUUCCAUUCCUGUUGGGCUUGUGGUGUGACAGAUGGCACAGCCUGGUAGGAAGCUCAUGGUCGAACAAGCUGCUCACUUAUAGCAGCAAAGGAGAAACAAAAGGAAGGAACCUUAGUUUCAUGGUCACCUUCAAGAUCACAGUCUUCAGUGAUAUCAAACAAAGCUAGGCCCAUCUCUUAAAAGUCACCACCUUUCUGAAAUCAAGUUUAUCAUAUGACUUCAGUGGACAUUCUAGAGUUAUACUGUAGUAGCCCAGAAUCUUAAUUGACUGUUUCAGUCAUUUAGAACAUUUUCUAAAAUCACAAUUACUUUCAAAGAAAGUUCUGUUUGAAGUGAAAGGCAUUAGUUAAGAAAAUAUAUCAAGUUUACACUUAAUGAUACAGUUGCUAUUUAUUGAGUUAGCACAUAAAGGCUAACAGAUGUAUAGUUAGGUAUUCCUGAUUUGCUAGUACCUGCCCUUUUUUAAGGGGGGGGGCGUCUAUACUGUUACACCUGAUACAGGAAUGCCUUAAAAGAGGUGUCUAGAGAAAAAUAAAGAUGGUGUGAUAAUAUUGGCUAAAGGCAUUUUUUUAAAUUUUUUUAAAAAUUUAUUUACUCACUUUACAUACCAAUAUCAGCCCCCCUCCUCCCAGUACCCCCUCAAAUAGAUCCUCCCCC
rnacentral:lncRNA from 1 species